GGAUCACUUUGGCCCUGAGGAUUUUCAUCCGUCCUUGAAUGAGAGGGCCAAACAGUUAGCCUUUCUUUACACAGAACUUGGACUAGAUCAUCCAAAAACUCGACGGAGACUAAAAGUAACUGGCAAGUCUCAUAAAACACAAAACUAAAUUGUGAAUGCGUGGAAAAACCACCAGACAAAAAGCUUUGCUGAUUUUUCUUAAUAAACCAAACAUUUAUUUUGUUACGUG